rnacentral:rRNA from 1 species
UACGUAGGGCGCAAGCGUUGUCCGGAAUUAUUGGGCGUAAAGAGCUCGUAGGCGGUCUGUCGCGUCUGUUGUGAAAACUCGAGGCUCAACCUCGGGCUUGCAGUGGAUACGGGCAGACUAGAGUGCGGUAGGGGAGACUGGAAUUCCUGGUGUAGCGGUGGAAUGCGCAGAUAUCAGGAGGAACACCGAUGGCGAAGGCAGGUCUCUGGGCCAACACUGACGCUCAGGCACGAAAGCGUGGGGAGCAAACAGG